rnacentral:tRNA from 1 species
CUGGUCGUCGCGGAUGGUGAAGCGCGGUCCGUCGUCUGGGCCGAGCAGGUCGUAACUGGCUCCCCACAGGGUCCGCAGGCCCUGUGCCUGGA